AUAGCUCCCUACCUUCUCGUUCUCUCUCCACAUUUGGGAAUUUGAUACGUUAGUUUCUCUCUCCCACCUUCUCAUUCUCUCUUCACGUUUUGGAAUUUGAUACAUCAGCUUCUCUCUUUUUUCUCUCCAAUUUAUUUUUUUAGUUUCUCAUUCUCACCAUAACUCUCACCACUUUCUUCUCCUAAAAUCAUUCAAUUAGAACUCUCACUGCAAGAUUCUCCACAAUAAACUCUCAUAUUAAUAGCCAUAAAUUUCAAAAAAUUUAUUAGGUUUAUUAGAGUUCAAAAUAGGAAAUCACAUUCGGAUCAAAAUUUGGAGUGUUUUGUUGAUUUAUACUGAAUAUGGGGAAGAAAAGUUCUUCAAAAAACUUUAGCAAGAAUCAUGCUUCUGAUUCUGAUUUUGAACAUUCCUAUUCUGAAAAUUCUGAUUUUGUAGAUUCUAAUAUGGAUAAUUCUAUUUCUGAAGAUUCUGAUUUUGAAGAUUCUCCACCAAAGGUUUUGAAAUAUAAACAUGCAGCAAGCCUUGUUGAGCCGAAAAAGAGAAAGCGUAAAGAUAGUGAAGAGGAUGCCAAUGUGGGUUUAAAACCUGCAAAGCGAAAGGCAAAAAAAAAAAAAAAAAAAGCGGUGAUGAAGUAGAAAAUCGCCAAUUGGAGGACUAGGGUUAUUAUGUCCCAAGGGAUACAAAAUUCUACCAUGUAUUUUUGGGCAUCUCAAGGUCCAAUCACUGGUCCAAAAUUCUCAAAGUUCUCACUUCUCACUUUAGGUGGAAUCCUUUAGCCUUAUUUUUUAUAGUUAUAACAUUGUUGUUACAGACUUAUUCUUAUAUCAGCAGAUGUUGUUUCAGUGUUAACUUUUUUAGUUAAAUUAUUUAUCAUUUUCUAGUUAAAAUAACCGGAUAGGUACAUGAAAGGAAUAGUGUGGCUAAUGAAAAUGAUAAUGGUGCAACCAAUCCCAAAGAACACCAAUCAGUUGAGGUAUAUUUUAGUGUAAAUUAUAUAAAUUCUAACUUUAACUCUUACUUAAUUGAUUUAAGUUUGUCAUGAUGAUAUAGGUUCAUAGAGUCGAGAAUGACGAUGAUUUCUUGGAUGCAUCUUACCCCAUCAAUGAACAGUCUCAUAAUGAAAUGCUUUGUAAAAAUGAUGACAAGCGUGAGACGAUCGCAUGCCAAAUUGGAUCUGAAUGCAAUCCGAGUGAUGGCAACUUAUCGCCCGUUCAUGGGCUGCCUACAUUUGACGGUGGUGAUUAUAGUCUUCCAACGGACUCUCAAAUAAUGGUAGCGUAUGACCAGUCUAUUAAUCAACACUCGAGAUUGAAGGAUCCACUGGUUCCGCGGCCUAUCAAUAUCAAAGACCUUGAAGUGACAGAAGAUCCGACUCCCAAACCUCCAAAAAGAGCCAAGUUUCCUGGGAGAUUACAAAUGUAACCAUUCGUCACCAUUCCUGAUAGUGCUGAGAGUAGUAAAGCAGUUCGGAGUAAAAAAAAAAAAAAAAUUUACUGUCAAACAUCCAUUCAACGUAGAGAUUGGGGUAGAUGUUGACAUGGAAACAUCCAAUGAAUUGUCUCACUUUGAAAACAGAUGACUUAUGCAAGGUUGAGCAUUUGAAUCUCCACGUGCACUGGUCAUUAACACACACAAGAGAGUACCUAAAACAAGUAAACUCAAAAAUUAAAUAUACAAC